rnacentral:rRNA from 1 species
AUACGGAGGGUGCAAGCGUUAUUCGGAAUCACUGGGCGUAAAGGACGCGUAGGCGGGUUGGCAAGUCAGAUGUGAAAUCCUACAGCUUAACUGUAGAACUGCAUUUGAAACUGCUAACCUAGAGUAUGGGAGGGGGAGAUGGAAUUAGUGGUGUAGGGGUAAAAUCCGUAGAUAUCACUAGGAAUACCGAAAGCGAAGGCGAUCUCCUGGAACAUAACUGACGCUAAGGCGUGAAAGCGUGGGGAGCAAACAGGUUAGAAACCCUAGUAGUCC